rnacentral:rRNA from 1 species
GACGAACGCUGGCGGCGUGCCUAAUACAUGCAAGUAGAACGCUGAAGGAGGAGCUUGCUUCUCUGGAUGAGUUGCGAACGGGUGAGUAACGCGUAGGUAACCUGCCUGGUAGCGGGGGAUAACUAUUGGAAACGAUAGCUAAUACCGCAUAAGAGUAGAUGUUGCAUGACAUUUGCUUAAAAGGUGCAAUUGCAUCACUACCAGAUGGACCUGCGUUGUAUUAGCUAGUUGGUGAGGUAACGGCUCACCAAGGCGACGAUACAUAGCCGACCUGAGAGGGUGAUCGGCCACACUGGGACUGAGACACGGCCCAGACUCCUACGGGAGGCAGCAGUAGGGAAUCUUCGGCAAUGGACGGAAGUCUGACCGAGCAACGCCGCGUGAGUGAAGAAGGUUUUCGGAUCGUAAAGCUCUGUUGUAAGAGAAGAACGAGUGUGAGAGUGGAAAGUUCACACUGCGACGGUAUCUGACCAGAAAGGGACGGCUAACUACGUG